rnacentral:sRNA from 1 species
GUUUCAAUUCCUCAUAGGCAGGCUAUCGGCGUCAAAAAAUGAAGGGAGGAAGUCCCCGCUGGACUUG